GUAAGUUUGAAAAUUUUAAACAAGGUAGUAAACCAUGAAGCUAUUAUCCCAUCUAUUUUUGAAUUGGUACACAUUUCAUUUUGAUGUGAACUGUUACAUGCUUUAAAAUUAUACCAAAUUAGAGUUUGUACUACAAUUUGACAAGUUUCACACAAGUCCUUUCAUGUGUAUAUUUUGAUAUUUAUGCUAGAUAAUCAGUAAGUAAAUAACUUGCCAAUGUUGUUACUUGCCACUGUUGUAUAAUAAACUUUCAUUGAAAUUUUGUUCACUAUCAAAGAAAAAAUAGUUUAUUAAGGGCAUACAAUACAGUUUUGAUCCGGCAUUUACAGUUAUAUAUAUUUAUUAUGUAUAUUUGCUUUCGAUGAAAGCUAUAACUUUUUUGUUUUAAAAGAUAACACAAAUUGUUUUUUGUUAAAUAAUUUGUAAUGUCUGUAUUGUCUAAGUCUCCUAAAAAUUUAUGCAUUUUUUAUUCAGAAAUUACUCAUAUUUAUCAAAUGGUCAUGAAUUGAGAAAUAAACGUAUUUUUUCGCUGUAUAUAUAUCAAGAUUAAAAAAAUUGCAUUAUUUACAGUUUUAUAAAAUUUGGUCCACAUAAUCUCCCUGCAAAAUGACACAAAAUGUUGUUUUAAAAAAUAGGUGUCCAUGCACUCGUUUUCAAAUUAAAUCAGUUUGAAUGAUAAAAAUCAAUCGAAUAAUGCAUCUAUUCCCGAUAUGUCACAGUUUGACGUCGUGAAAAUAACAUUUUAUGUUAGCAACGUCAUUAUCUCCCCUGUAACUGUAUAGUAUGCCCUUUAAGGAUGUUUUUGACUAUCAAGAUUUGACCUGAAGAAAAAAGGGAGUGAAUUUGGAUUAACCCAUCUGAAUUCCAUAGUUUAGACUAAAUAAGGGCGUUAUCUCUUGUUUGUUAUUGAGUCAUUAGAUAAUUUACUUCAUAUUCUACUUAUGUUUUCUUUGAAAUCAUGACAAAGUCAAUAAUGUCAACAUCAGUGAUUAUUUAUUGUGUAUUUAUUUAUUAAUUUAGAACCUCUGGUAAUGUAUAGUUCUUUAUAUAUAGAAGAGGUAAUUAUAAUAUGUGGGUAUUUAUCCUUAUAAAAAGGGAAAUGCACAUGUACACUGUAUACUUUGCAAAACCAUCAUAAAAUGACUAAUCAAGUUUUACUUUUUGUACUAAAUAAUUUAUUUUAAUAUUAAUUCAAUGUUAACAAGAUUAUUUUAGAUAUGCAUUGCCAUUGUUCUUUUAGGGUUGUAGUUGCUUUUAAGAUAUAAUGAAAUCUUGAGUUGGGUUAAGUAAUGUAAUAAUAGGGAACCGUUUAUGUUUUAUUGUUAAUGGUAUAUGUAUUUCAUCGUCAUUCAGAUACAUGUAGUUAUGUGUGUGUAUCUCAUCCUCAGAAUUUGUGAAGAUUAACAUAACUGUUCAUUCUGUUGCCAAAUACUUCAACAUAAAAGUCCCAAAAAAUCAAAUUAUUAGAUUUAUUUUGUGUCUGCUUAUACAUUUAAUGUUUAUAUACCAAUUAAAGCAGUGUUUUAUUUGAUUACACUGUAAAUGAGUUUGUUUAAAUUGCAGAAUAUUUUUCUGACUAUUUAAUCCAAAGAAAGUUUUAGUUAAAACAUAUUUAUUUAUAGUGGAUUGGGAAAAAAAGUUAUUGCAACUUAUAUAAUCUCUUUCCACUUUGUGUGUGUGAGUGCUGCCUUGUAGCGGCAUAAGCCUGCUUUUUUUUCGAAAUCUACAAGGGUGUCUUUUACGUGCAAGAGAUAUUGCUCUCUCUUAACACAGUUAUUUAUCGUCCCCUUCCGACGGACUAUCAUCGUUUCAAAUCACAGUACACCCUAUUUCCAGUAUAUCAAAUAUUUGUAACACUUGUCAGAUCAUGUAAAAUCAGAAUUUUCUGCUACCUUCCUUACUGAACACCAUUUGAUAACCUUGUAUGACUGGUUUUGAUUACCCUACACCCUGAAUUGUUAUUGUUGUCUCUAAUAUUUAACCAAAUAUUAAACUCAUUAAUUUCAUAUUCUUUGUUUUAUAUUGUUAUUUCAAAUGUACAAUUUUGUAAAGGAGGUAAUGUUUAAUUACAUUAUAGUUAUUCUCAAUAGAUUCAAAGAAUUUUAUAUUAAAAUUCAAUAUAUUGAGAACUGUCUUUAAAUAAUGUAAAUGAUCAAUACAUGUGUCUAAAUUGUCAAAAUUAAAAAGUAUGGCAAAAGUAAUAAUGUUGUCAAUGGCCCAUUAUGGUACAUGUACUAUUUGUUGUUGUUGCUGCUGAAAGGUUUGAAAAUAACAUUUCUGAGUUCUGGGGUUUUAUCCAUUAAUAAAAGGGUGAUUUUCCAGUUUUCGGACAAACACAUUGCUUUCACCAACUUGCAAGAAAUUUCGGUUAAUUGUUUAUAUCUAAUGACAUGAGCUCCCUUUUGAUUUUUAGAAAUUUUCGAUUUUAUGUUUCCGAGGGUACAGGGUUUUAUUCAUAAAAAAGGGGGGAGUUUCCAGUUUUUGGACAAUAGUUCAUGAAACUUUGGUGAAUUGUUUGUAUCUAUUGAUGUAAGCUUCUAUUAUAAUUUUAUAAAUUAUAGCUUUUACAUUUUCAAGUUUUGGGGUUUAAUUCAAUUAAAAAGAAGGGAUUUUCCAGUUUUCGGAC
rnacentral:lncRNA from 1 species